UGGAUUUCCCGGAGGUGCCAC
rnacentral:siRNA from 1 species